rnacentral:rRNA from 1 species
AGAGUUUGAUCAUGGCUCAGGACGAACGCUGGCGGCGUGCUUCAUACAUGCAAGUCGUGCGAGAAAUCUUGAUUUAUUUCGAGAGAGUAAAGCGGCGAACGGGUGAGUAACGCGUGGGUAACCUGCCUCUGAGUUGGGGAUAACCCCGAGAAAUCGGGUCUAAUACCCAAUAAUAUCCCGAAGGGACAUCCCUUAGAGAUCAAAGGUGACCUCUACUUGUAAGUUACCACUUGGAGAGGGGCUCGCGUCCUAUUAGCUUGUUGGUGAGGUAACGGCUCACCAAGGCAGCGAUGGGUAGCCGGCCUGAGAGGGUGUCCGGCCACACUGGGACUGAGAUACGGCCCAGACUCCUACGGGAGGCAGCAGUAGGGAAUAUUGCGCAAUGGUCUAAAGGCUGACGCAGCAACGCCGCGUGGGUGAUGAAGCUUUUCGAAGUGUAAAGCCCUGUCAGGAGGGAAGAAAUUCCCUUGGGGAAAUACUUCAAGGGGANGGACG